rnacentral:rRNA from 1 species
AUUGAACGCUGGCGGAAUGCUUUACACAUGCAAGUCGAACGGUAGAGGGGGCAACCCCUUGAGAGUGGCGAACGGGUGAGUAAUAUAUCGGAACGUGCCCAGUCGUGGGGAUAACGUAGCGAAAGUUACGCUAAUACCGCAUACGAUCUACGGAUGAAAGCGGGGGACUCGCAAGAGCCUCGCGCGAUUGGAGCGGCCGAUAUCAGAUUAGGUAGUUGGUGGGGUAAAGGCUCACCAAGCCAACGAUCUGUAGCUGGUCUGAGAGGACGACCAGCCACACUGGAACUGAGACACGGUCCAGACUCCUACGGGAGGCAGCAGUGGGGAAUUUGGGACAAUGGACGCAAGUCUGAUCCAGCCAUUCCGCGUGCAGGAUGAAGGCCCUCGGGUUGUAAACUGCUUUUGUACGGAACGAAAAGGUUUCUAUUAAUACUAGGAGCUCAUGACGGUACCGUAAGAAUAAGCACCGGCUAACUACGUGCCAGCAGCCGCGGUAAUGUG